CCCUUAGAUGUUCUGGGCGGCCCGCGCACUACAAUGGCGCUUUCAGCGAGUUCCUAUGUUGAAUUUUCCUGGGUAUUCUUGGAAGCGGCGUCUUGACUUGGGAUAGAUCCUUGUAAUUGUUGGUUUUGAACGAGGAAUUCCUUGUAAUCGCGGUUGAUCAGCUCGCGUUGAAUACGUCCCUGCCCUUUGUACACACCGCCCGUCGCUCCUACCGAUUGAAUGUUCCGGUGAGCUCUUCGGACUGCGCGGUCUGCAGUUUCUGCGUUCCGUGCGGAAAGUUGCGCAAACCUUAACAUUUAGAGGAAGGAGAAGUCGUAACA
rnacentral:rRNA from 1 species